rnacentral:misc_RNA from 1 species
AGAAAUCAGUUAACUCAAGUG